UACGAAGGGGGGCUAGCGUUGCUCGGAAUGACUGGGCGUAAAGGGCGUGCAGGCGGUUUGUUAAGUUCAGGGUGAAAGCUCCCGGCUCAACUGGGAGAGGUCCUUGGAUACGGGCAGACUAGAGUGUGGUAGGGGAGACUGGAAUUCCCGGUGUAGCGGUGAAAUGCGUAGAUAUCGGGAGGAAUACCUAUGGCGAAAGCAGGCUACUGGACCAUCACUGACGCUGAUCUGCGAAAGCUAGGGGAGCAAACAGG
rnacentral:rRNA from 1 species